rnacentral:tRNA from 1 species
GUCAAUAUAGCAUAAUAAAUGUGUCUGUUUUAAGUGUAGGAGAUAGAUUUUGAUUA